AAAAACAGCAACAAAUAUGGCGUUGCUCUCCUUUCUCCGCAAUCUCCGCAAUCAAAACAAAAUGAAAAAAUUGCGAUAUUUAGUCAACGCUAAUCAUGUAUUACUACGACAGAAAUGUUCAUCGACAUGCACGAAUCAGAGAUGUGGUAUUAGUGAACCCAAAAAAUUAGACUUGAAAGAUGAAAUUGAAAACUACAUUAACAAUCACAAAUACACUUUGAUUGCUGCUACAGCUGAUGUUUGUAAACAAAAGUUUCAAGAACACUUGAUUGGAAAUACAUUAGGGGAAUCAUUUACUAGCAGUAGUAGUAUAUGGCAAUUUCCAUGGAAGAGAACUGAAAAAGAUAAACCAUUUAUAUAUGAAAAUUCAGAAAAUAUAUUUGCAAGAGGUUAUGAUGCACUUGAAGAUUAUUUACAUGGUGAAAAAGUUGACCAUCAGAUGUGCGCUGCUUUCACAGCACUAGAAAGAUUUUACACAAAUAAAGAACUCCAUGAAAGAAAUCUUGCUCAGCUAAACAGCAUGAACCUGACAAAGACAGAAACUGCAUCACUGAUAACUAGUCACCUUCUUUCCCAACUCCUUUUUAAUCCAGCAAAUCAUAUUAUAGAUUCAAACUUCUCUGAAGGCCCACCAUAUGACUGCCGCGCUCCAGUACAAUAUGGAUACACAAAUUUUGGAAGUACUCGACUUUUUCAUGGGAAUGCAGAUAUAACAUUGUUUCCAACAACCGAGGACAUGUUUUUGGAUUCUCAAACAGAUGCAGCUGUGUUUCAUAUUGGAGAGCCAGAAGAAAGUCCUGAUGCAAACAGAUUACACCCAAAAUGGAAUACUGUUGAUUAUGAUGAUAAUGAUGAAGAAGAAAAGAUUUGUGAUGCAAACAAUAGUGAAAACUUCAAUGAUUCAGACAUUAAUCAAGUGUGUAAACAAGCCAUCUCUUUAACAAUGUGGAAACAUAAACAAAGGAUCUUGGCCUACAGUGGAAACAAGGAUUAUGGUUCGUCAAUGGUUCCUAUCUGUGGUAUUAAUAGACACAAAUAUAUGGUGGUUCUGUAUAAUGCUCAGCAUGAUUAUCUAUUAAAAAUGCAAAAGAAAGACUUUUUAAAAGUUUUCGACAAGGAUAAACUAGAGUUUUCUACAAUUAUUAAUCUUUGGAUGUUAAUCCAUCAUAACUUAUUUUGCACAGAACCGUCUGAUAAUGCCAUCCAAAUCCUUAAAGGCGCUGGGGGCCUUCUACAAAGAUUAGGAGAAGACACAUUUAAAGAAGUUGUUAUAACUUCCAAAUUUUAUUAUGAUACAGAACCCAGUGGAGAUGAGUUUGAGGUAGACAUGGAGAAUGAUUCGAUUCCUGCUUCAGGUAGAAAAAGAAGCUUUAAGGUGCAUGUAAAAUGUAUGAAUUUUACAGAACAGGAAGAUUGAGGAAAUUUCAAAAGAUUAACCAGGAACAGUAAGAAGAAUGGGGCUCAUAGGUGUUAAGUACUGGAAGAACUGGUUUAAUGAGAAACUUGAUGAAAUGUACAGAACAUAAAAGAAAGACUGUGAUAGUGACUUUAUAAAUGAAGAAUAAUUAAGAUAUUGAAUAAUGAUUUUAGAUUAUUUGUUAGUUAUAUGGUUUGCUACUGAGGCAGUAAAAAUUGACUUUAAAGACUUGUAAAAUGUGAAGCAAAUGGUAAAGCAGUAGGGUCUAAAUAGUACUGAAAAUUUUAAAGUUACCCUACAUCUUCCUUAAUUGUCCAAACAAUGCUUUAGGUACAAGGACAGGUGUUCGAAAAUUAAAACACAUGUAAAAUUUUCAAAACAAGUCACCACAUUUUUGGUCCUCAAAAUGAUCUUCGACUUCAUACUUUCUUUGGCCUUUUUUACAUUUUUGAUUCAAGUCACUGAUGAGUCUUUUGUAGACGAAACACUUGUCUGGCAUACAAAAUUUCAAUCCUGGUAUCUAUGAUCAUGAUGAGGAAUUUAUUUAUAUUUGAUGAGAUUAUGUCAGAAACUAUAACAAAACUUGUAUAGUUGUUCUUUGGUUGGAAUUAAUGUUUCUACAAAGGAAAUAUGGAUGCACUACUUCAUUAAUUGUGUUACAAAGGAAAUAUGGAUAAACUACAUAAACUGUGCAGUUUUUGUCUUUUCAUGAAAGAGUGCAUAAGAUGACAAAACUACAUGAUAACAUAAAAAUAUUGUGUAAUUUAUUUAAAUGUCACAAUAUUUUUCACUUCUAAACAUGAUUUGCACAUUUAAUAUGGUUUUAAUUUUUGUUUUGAUUCUUGGGCUACAACUUCCUUUGAUGAAGUUUAUAGAGCAGAAAUGAAGGAUUUUGAUGUUGAUUUUAUGAUGAAUAUUUAAGAGAUUGAUGGUCAAUAUAUGCUGCUUAUGAUUAAUAGAAAGUCAAUACCGCUGUUCGUAAACUUUACAUCUUUGAGAAUAUCAUGCAUUAAGUUGCAGGUAUUUUGACAAACAUUUGAAUUAAUUUAGAACUCUUUGAUUUCGUAGUUCGUCUCUGACUGUUUCAGAUAUUAAAUCUAAUUUAAUUUGGUACAUGUUAAUCAAGACAACAAACCCAUUUUCUUUCUUAUUUUAAUCAACCAAUUAUAAUAUGUUAUUUGUAUGUAAUAAAUGCAUCUGCUUUUUUAAAAAUUAUUAAUAAAUCAUUUCAUCUUCA